rnacentral:rRNA from 1 species
GAUCAUGGCUCAGGAUGAACGCUAGCUACAGGCUUAACACAUGCAAGUCGAGGGGCAGCAUUUCAGUUUGCUUGCAAACUGGAGAUGGCGACCGGCGCACGGGUGAGUAACACGUAUCCAACCUGCCGAUAACUCGGGGAUAGCCUUUCGAAAGAAAGAUUAAUACCCGAUGGCAUAAUUAGACCGCAUGGUCUUGUUAUUAAAGAAAUUUCGGUUAUCGAUGGGGAGUGCGUUCCAUUAGG